rnacentral:lncRNA from 1 species
UUGUCAAGAUAAUAACUUGGAUGUUUCUCAAUUUUCACAUUUGUUUUGAAUUCUCUGCCAAAGUCAUAUAUUUAUCUUCCAGGGGAAAUCAUGUUAAUGGAAAUAAGCAUAUGUCUCCAGAUCCAAAAGCCAGAACUUACAGGGCAAUGAUAAAAGAAAUCAGAGGGAAGAAAGUAGGAGAAAGUUGGGUCAGCCCUGCCAAAGCAGGUUACACAAAAUGUGGAACUGCGAGUACAAUAAUUUGAGUGAGCUGCAACAGCAUUAUAAGGAUGGUUCAAGAUGUGGUUGCCAUGCCUCACUAAAGGGAAGUACAUUUGGACGUGAAGGAGCCAUCAGUAGGUUCAAUGAAGAGCUUGAAGGAAACUCAGAGGCCAGUGCUGGAGCAGAGGAAGAGGAACUGAUAGACCCAAACACAACGUGAGGACUGAAGGGUCCAGGUGAGGUCCAAGAGGUGCAAGGGAAGGGAAGAGAAGAAAGCAUACAGGAAGGAGAGGAGGGAAGCUGUUUCAGUAGCCCCUUCUAAAAUAGAAAGUAUAUAGUAUGCUGCUGUAUAUGUAAACAGAUACUCUAGAUUUUAGCUUUGAGUAUCGCACAAACAUCCUGUACAGUGCAAACAUCUCCUGACAUUGUAAAGUCCUCAAGGAUUCAACCAUCAAUAUCUUUCCCUACAAUAUCUACACCUGGUGUCUCUCAAAAAAAAUUCUUUCACAAAAUAAAGGCCAAAUAUUCUCUUUUGCUUUUAGUUGU